GAUGAACGCUAGCGGCAGGCCUAAUACAUGCAAGUCGAGGGGCAACAGGAAUAGCAAUAUUUGCUGGCGACCGGCGCACGGGUGCGUAACACGUAUACAAUCUGCCUUUAACAGGGGGAUGGCCCGGAGAAAUCCGGAUUAAUACCCCAUAACAGAUCGAAUGGCAUCAUUUGGUUUUGAAAGCUCCGGCGGUUAAAGAUGAGUAUGCGUCUGAUUAGCUAGAUGGUGAGGUAACGGCUCACCAUGGCGACGAUCAGUAGGGGAUCUGAGAGGACUAACCCCCACACUGGUACUGAGACACGGACCAGACUCCUACGGGAGGCAGCAGUAAGGAAUAUUGGUCAAUGGAGGCAACUCUGAACCAGCCAUGCCGCGUGCAGGAUGACGGCCCUAUGGGUUGUAAACUGCUUUUAUACAAGAGAAAACCCGAGUACGUGUACUCGGUUGAUAGUAUUGUAAGAAUAAGCAUCGGCUAACUUCGUGCCAG
rnacentral:rRNA from 1 species